UACGUAGGGUGCAAGCGUUGUCCGGAAUUACUGGGCGUAAAGGGCUCGUAGGCGGCCAACUAAGUCAGACGUGAAAUCCCUCGGCUUAACCGGGGAACUGCGUCUGAUACUGGUUGGCUUGAAUCCGGGAGAGGGAUGUGGAAUUCCAGGUGUAGCGGUGAAAUGCGUAGAUAUCUGGAGGAACACCGGUGGCGAAGGCGGCAUCCUGGACCGGUAUUGACGCUGAGGAGCGAAAGCCAGGGGAGCAAACGGG
rnacentral:rRNA from 1 species